rnacentral:rRNA from 1 species
GUGGGGAAUCUUGCACAAUGGGGGAAACCCUGAUGCAGCGAUGCCGCGUGAGUGAAGAAGGCCCUUGGGUUGUAAAGCUCUUUCGUCGGGGAAGAAAAUGACUGUACCCGAAUAAGAAGGUCCGGCUAACUUCGUGCCAGCAGCCGCGGUAAUACGAAGGGACCUAGCGUAGUUCGGAAUUACUGGGCUUAAAGAGUUCGUAGGUGGUUAAAAAAGUUGGUGGUGAAAUCCCAGAGCUUAACUCUGGAACUGCCAUCAAAACUUUUUAGCUAGAGUAUGAUAGAGGAAAGUAGAAUUUCUAGUGUAGAGGUGAAAUUCGUAGAUAUUAGAAAGAAUACCAAUUGCGAAGGCAGCUUUCUGGAUCAUUACUGACGCUGAGGAACGAAAGCAUGGGUAGCGAAGAGGAUUAGAUACCC